UACGAAGGGGGCUAGCGUUGCUCGGAAUUACUGGGCGUAAAGCGCGCGUAGGCGGAUCAUCAAGUCGGGGGUGAAAUCCCGGGGCUCAACCCCGGAAUGGCCUUCGAGACUGGUGGUCUUGAGUUCGAGAGAGGUGAGUGGAAUUCCGAGUGUAGAGGUGAAAUUCGUAGAUAUUCGGAGGAACACCAGUGGCGAAGGCGGCUCACUGGCUCGACACUGACGCUGAGGUGCGAAAGCGUGGGGAGCAAACAGG
rnacentral:rRNA from 1 species